GUUGGAAGGCAUGUCAAAGUUUUCCUUGCUUUUCUUUGUCGUCUCCCCUUCUUCCCCCCCUUUCCUCUGCCAACAAAAAUAAGAGAGAAGGUGAAACGCGCCCGCAGUCCCAAGCGAUGCGCUCAAACCUGGGCAAGGAGUUGUUUCGGCGGUAUCUGCUGCCCCCUGAUGACCAAGGAGGGGAACUGCGUCGGAAUGGUUGCCACGGUCUCUGGUGCCAUCUGGUGGCGAAAAGGUGGAAUUGCACCACUGUCACUUUAGUGUCGGAGAAAGUACGCAUGCGUACUGACCUAUCCAGUAUCGCGCACGCGUAAUACCGGAUGGAGACUCGCGCAUGCGUACUACCCUCUCGAGGCUCGCGCAUGCGUACUGCCGGCAAGCGCCUCGCGCAUGCGUACGGCCGUCUCGCAGGUCGCGCAUGCGUACUGCGCUACCGGAGCUCGUCCAUGCGUACUGCCGUCUCGCCGCUCGCGCAUGCGUACUGCCGUCCCAACGCUCGCGCAUGCGUACUCCCUUCCAAAAUGUUGCGCAUGCGUACUGCCUUCACGCGACUCGCGCAUGCGUACUGCCGAGUCGAGUCUCGCGCAUGCGUACUGCCUUCCAUAAUAUCGCGUAUGCGUACUACCGUCUCGCCGCUCGCGCAUGCGUACUGCCGAGUCGAGACUCGCGCAUGCGUACUGCCGUCUAUGAUGUCGUGCAUGCGUACCACCGUCCAUAAUUUCGCUCAUGCGUACUGCCGUCUAUAAUAUCGCGCAAGCGUACUGCCGUCUACAGUGUCGCUCAUGCGUACUGCCGUCUAUAAUGUCGCGCAUGCAUACUGCCCCUUCGCGACUCGCGCAUGCGUACUGCCGUGCCGAAGCUCACGCAUGCGUACUACCGUCCCAAUGCUCGCGCAUGCGUACUGCCGUCUAUGAUGUCGCGCAUGCGUACUACCGUCUCGCGGAUCGCGCAUGCGUACUGCAUUCCAUAAUAUCGCGCACGCGUACUACCGUCUCGCCGCGCAUGCGUACUGCCGUAUCGAGGAUAGCGCAUGCGUACUACCGUCCCAACGCUCGCGCAUGCGUACUGCCUUCCAUAAUGUCGCGCAUGCGUACUGCCGUAUCGGGGCUCGCGCAUGCGUACUGCCGUCUACACUGUCGCGCAGGCGUACUGCCAUCCAGAAUGUCGCGCAUGCGUACUGCCGUCUAUACGGCCGCGCAUGCGUAUUGCCGUCCCAAGGCUCGCGCAUGCGUACUGCGGUCUAUAAUGUCGCGCAUGCGUACUACCGUCUAUAAUUUUGCGCAUGCGUACUACCGUCUCGCGGCUUGCGCAUGCGUACUGCCGUAUCGAGUAUCGCGAAUGCGUACUACCGUCUCGCGGCUCGCGCAUGCGUACUGCCGUCUCGCCG
ensembl:lncRNA